ACUGAUUAUAGUCUAUAUUACAUAAUUAAUUUGAAUAGAAGAAUAGUUUAACUGAUAUAUAUAUAUUUUUAAACCACGAUUUAUCUAUAAUGAAUACUGACAUUUCUUUAUUAAUUAUUCGAAGUGGCUAUUAUUUCUUCAGGCAACAAAUCUAUCGAUCUUGAAUGUUGUCAAUAAAGUGACAGUUUAUCGAACAUAUAUGUAUAUUCGUUCUACUUAAACAGCUUGUUAGCAUCGUUCUAGAUAAUGUCAAUUUGAAAGAAAGAAAGAAAAAAAAAUCUUGUUGAUGGAUUGACAGAAUUAUUUUCAAAAAUUUCCUAACUGAAAACUCUUUACUAACGUCGUGAAUUAAAUGACAUGAUUUAAUUAUACAGGGCGCUGGUUGUAUUAAUUUUCUGAGAAGCACACAAGGAAAAAAUGAUAUGAUCUUUAUUAUAAGAAUUGAGAAAAAAAUAAGAAUUAAGAAGAGAAUAGGUGAUUUUUUGUUGCUUAUUGGAUUUAAAUGAGAAUUUCAUGAAGUUAAAUUAAAAAUAAGAGUUGAAGAAGUGCGGUUGGUGUAUAAAGAAGAUAUCAAGUAGUGACAGAAUCUCCACAGACUAUUUUAAGACAAGCGAUAAAUUUCAACUUGAAGUUUACUAUUUGAGAGAAAAUUAAUGAAAUUCUAAGAAGUAAUUAAUAUUUUCUGGACAUUUCCUAUGAACAAUUUGUUUAAUAUUUACUAAUGCUUGAGGCUUUAUAUGUCAAAUUGAAGCACGAUCUCUAGCAAUGCCUAGAGCAUCAGCCUCCUUGCUUGUCAUCACAACACUACCUAUUUAUUAGUUACGGGAUCCUGAAAAUAGCCAAUAUACCUGCCCAAACAGGUAGGUAAUUCGCCGUUACUUACGUGUGAUACUCGGAAGUUAUGUGUGUGUAUAACUGUACCGGAAAGGGCCUUUCACUUAAAAUAUGAGGAUUAAAAAAUGAAGUGGAAGAGCCUCUACUCGAUUCUUUAUCUACAAAGAUUCAGAUGCCAAAGAUAAUUUAGGAAAUAUAUAUAAUAAUAACAUAAUUGGAAAGAGCAAUUCUCGAAAGUUACUUUACUCUUCAGAUGUUUAUUAAGAAGUAUUCUAGUCACGAUAUAGUCUAAUGCCAACAAUAAUGAUAAUUUAUUACACAAAGCAAGCUUCCUACGUGAAAAGAAAAAUUUGUGUCUUAUCAGCAAAGAAGGUAAUUUCCCAGUAGUGUAUAAUUUGAAAAUACUUUGCAACAAACGGAUGAACCACACCCCGAGGGAUUAGAGCCUACUCAAAGGUUUAGGCUGAAGAAAGGAAGAGAGUGAAUGGAUGAGGAGGAGGAUAAGAAGGAGUAGUUAGGAAUAGAACUGAGAAAUCAGAAGAUUUCUUCAGGCAAAUAUUUUAGUUGUAAUUAUUAUUUUUUAAAUGUUCCAUUUUCGAGAUUUGCCGAAACAAUAAUUUGGAUUAUAGGUAAGAGUAGAGUUACUCUCCAGGACCCUGUGAAAAAAAUAGGCUACCACGAAACCUGGAAAUCUCACCCCUUCCCAAUUUCAUUUACGUUUAAUUGUUGAAUCCUAGAAGGAAAAUUUUCAACAAAUCAAAGGAGAUAAGAUCUUGAAUUUAGUAAAUGGCUACAAUAAAGGACAAGCUGAUAGGAAGAAGACGAAGGGGAAAGAAAAAAAAAAAAGAAGAAGAGGAGGAGGAGGAUAGAUUAUUAUAAUUCCAAACCAAGAUUACACCCAAAUAUUUUAUGAUUAUUAAUAAGGAGAUAAGUGAAAAAAGAAGAAGAGUAAUAUUUAAUCAUCCAAGAUGAUAAAUUGAAAGCAAUGACAUCCAUUAAACAUUUUGAAAGAAUUUUGUCUCAUACCCUUUAAUAACAAGAUAUAUAAUUAGAUAACUCAUUACAGUCUUCUUAGUGGCAAAGAUGAAUAUUCUAAACAUGAAUGAAGUAUUCUUAUCAAAACAUUGAAUGUUAAGGGGUGGGUGCUUAAUAGCUUUGUUGUUAUCUUCUCAAGAAUUGCACUCUUAAAAUAUAUUAUACAAUAUAAUGUUCGUGUAAUCGAUAGUCUUUCAUUAAACAAAAUUGAUUUUUUUUUCUUCUUUUUGGAAUAUUAAUUAGAUUUUGUGCUUCUUUAUAAAAUUA